rnacentral:piRNA from 1 species
UGGGAUUAAAGGUAUAUGCCAC